CCCUUAGAUGUUCUGGGCCGCACGCGCGCUACACUGACGAUGGCAACGAGUUUUUCCUUCGCCGAAAGGUGUGGGUAAUCUUUUGAAACAUCGUCGUGCUGGGGAUAGAUCAUUGCAAUUUUUGAUCUUGAACGAGGAAUUCCUAGUAAGCGCGAGUCAUCAGCUCGCGUUGAUUACGUCCCUGCCCUUUGUACACACCGCCCGUCGCUACUACCGAUUGAAUGGUUUAGUGAGGACUCCUGAUUGGCGCCGCCGCCCCGGCAACGGAGCAGCGGACUGCCGAAAAGUUGUUCAAACUUGAUCAUUUAGAGGAAGUAAAAGGCGUAACG
rnacentral:rRNA from 1 species